rnacentral:lncRNA from 1 species
CCCCGGUCCUGGCCCACCCCGCCGCUGUCACCGGGGCCCUGGCUUGGGUUGCGGGUGGCGUAAGGAGACGAGGCGCCCGGAGAAGAGUCCUGGGAACCGCAAGGCCGCGCUCCCGCAGGCCCAGCCCUGCCUUUCUCCCACGCGCACGCAUGAUCACAUCCGGGCCCCGCGCACCUGCCUCCAGGACCGCGGGGACCUCCCGGAGACCUCCCUCCCUUUGGCCUGGAGGACCCCUCUCUCCCCGCAGCCUGGGCACAGAAGAGAGCACAGGGGCAUCUGGAGGUCAAGGGUGCUGCGUCAGUAUUUGAUCUCACUGAAGAGUUCUUCUGUGCCUGGAAGACUUAUUUUCAGUCUGAGAAGAAUGAUUUUUCAAUGGUUCUGUUGAACAUGCAAUUCUCACUGAAAGCACCAGAUUUCCGCGUAGGAGGGACUCGGGGGCAACGAUGCAAUUGGAAGUUCCAGGAACAAAGUCACUCACUGUCCUGUGGGUAGUCUCCGAGUCUCUGCGAGGACCCACUGCACGGCAGGAGCUAGUCUCAGACUGAGGAGGUGAGCUCCUCACGUACAGGGGUCGCGCUGCCUCCUCCUCUGACUCCCUGGCUCUGAGCGAAGGCUCUGGCAUCUGUAGCCAUGAGAGGAAUGUUUGCCGAGUGACCCCAUGAGCGAGUGAUGCCAGCAUAAAGGCCAGUGCACCCAAGGCUGGCCCAAAAUAUCCUCUGGCAACCAGAGCCGCCCCGCCGGGGGAUGCAUUCUGCCUUUGAAAGUAGUGAGUAGCACAUCCUUACAGGUACCCAAGAGGAGAAGGAUUGGACACUAUUCAGGGUGGAAAUGGAUGAGGGGAUCCCUGCGAUGGGGGAGAGGGUCUGACUACCCAUCCCCUAAGGACAGUCCCUGGUCUGGGGCCUCCCAGCCUGAGAACGAGGCAGGAGCCACCACCAUCGGAAGCUGUCAGAUUCACAGUCAUAAUUCCAGAGUGUGACACUUAGUUAAUCUGAAAAUAUUUGCUAACCUAUUAUGAAUAACAAUAUUUGCAGCUUAAAAUGCUUACCCUCCAUAGCUCCAGAGUGUGAAGAUGUGCUUCUACCCAGACAAAGAUGUACUCACUACUAUCCGAGCAAAUUGACACAGGGAGCUUAUGAGCCUAAUUGUUGGCAUCUCAGGCUGAUUUGCGUCCCCUGGGGCCACUCUGAUAACUUGGCUAAACAAAUACAGGAGGUGCUGUAGGGACAGGCUCACAGGGCCAGAGGGCUCCAUGGAGCCGGAUGACGGGGAAGUAUUUCAGGCCUCUCACCAGAACCUCCUGCUAUGCUCUGAAUGUCUGUGUCCUCCCAAAAUUCAUAUGUUGAAAUCCUAAUUCCCUACGUGAGGGUAUUAGGAGGUGGGGCCUUUGAAGGUGAUUAGGUCAUGAGAGCAGAGCCCACAGUAAUGGGGUGAGUGCCCUUAUAUAAA